GCGAUCAUACCAGCACUAAUGCACCGGAUCCCAUCAGAACUCCGAAGUUAAGCGUGCUUGGGCGAGAGCAGUACUAAUGCACCGGAUCCCAUCAGAACUCCGAAGUUAAGCGUGCUUGGGCGAGAGCAGUACUAGGAUGGGUGACCCCCUGGGAAGUCCUCGUGUUGCACCU
rnacentral:rRNA from 1 species